AUUGAACGCUGGCGGCAUGCCUUACACAUGCAAGUCGAACGGCAGCACGGGUGCUUGCACCUGGUGGCGAGUGGCGAACGGGUGAGUAAUACAUCGGAACAUGUCCUGUAGUGGGGGAUAGCCCGGCGAAAGCCGGAUUAAUACCGCAUACGAUCUACGGAUGAAAGCGGGGGGCCUUCGGGCCUCGCGCUAUAGGGUUGGCCGAUGGCUGAUUAGCUAGUUGGUGGGGUAAAGGCCUACCAAGGCGACGAUCAGCAGCUGGUCUGAGAGGACGACCAGCCACACUGGGACUGAGACACGGCCCAGACUCCUACGGGAGGCAGCAGUGGGGAAUUUUGGACAAUGGGCGAAAGCCUGAUCCAGCAAUGCCGCGUGUGUGAAGAAGGCCUUCGGGUUGUAAAGCACUUUUGUCCGGAAAGAAAUCCUUGGCCCUAAUACGGUCGGGGGAUGACGGUACCGGAAGAAUAAGCACCGGCUAACUACGUG
rnacentral:rRNA from 1 species